rnacentral:rRNA from 1 species
AGAGUUUGAUCCUGGCUCAGGAUUAACGCUGGCAGUGUGUAUAAUACAUGCAAGUCGACUGCAUUUAGUUGCAGGGCAGACGGGUGAGUAACACGUUGGAAUCUGCCCCAAAGUGAGGGAUACCCCCGAGAAAUCGGGACUAAUACCGCAUAUGGCCGCAAGGUUAAAGCCCUCGGGCGCUUUGGGAGGAGCCUGCGUAGUAUCAGCUUGUUGGUGAGGUAAUAGCUCACCAAGGCUAUGACGCUUAGCUGGUCUGAGAGGAUGAUCAGUCACAAUGGAACUGAGACACGGUCCAUACUCCUACGGGAGGCAGCAGUAAAGAAUCUUCCGCAAUGGGCGAAAGCCUGACGGAGCAACACUGCGUGGGGGAUGAAGGCCUUCGGGUCGUAAACUCCUUUUCUGGGGGAAGAAGUUCUGACGGUACCCCAGGAAUAAGCGACGGCUAAUUACGUGCCAGCAGCCGCGGUAAUACGUAAGUCGCAAGCGUUAUCCGGAAUCAUUGGGCGUAAAGCGUCUCUAGGCGGUUUUGUUAGUCUGUGGUUAAAUCUCCUCGCUCAACGGGGAAAUCGUCACGGAAACUGCAAAACUUGAGUAGUGCAGGGGCAGAUGGAAUUCCAGAAGUAGGGGUAAAAUCCGUAGAUCUCUGGAGGAACACCAAACGCGAAGGCAUUCUGCUGGGCACUUACUGACGCUAAAGGACGAAAGCGUGGGUAGCGAACGGGAUUAGAUACCCCGGUAGUCCACGCCGUAAACGAUGGAUACUCGGUAUUGGAGGCUUCGACCCCUUCGGUGCCUAAGCUAACGCAUUAAGUAUCCCGCCUGGGUAGUACGGUCGCAAGAUUAAAACUCAAAGGAAUAGACGGGGACCUACACAAGCGGUGGAGCAUGUGGUUUAAUUCGAUAGUAAGCGGGGAACCUUACCAGGGCUUGACAUCUCGGGAAUUUCGCAGAAAUGUGAAAGUGCCUUCGGGAACCCGAUGACAGGUGUUGCAUGGUUGUCGUCAGCUCGUGCCUUGAGGUGUUCUGUUAAGUCAGUAAACGAGCGCAACCCUAAUCGUAUGUUGCUUAUUUCAUGCGAGACUGCCGACUCCAAGUCGGAGGAAGGUUAGGAUAACGUCAAAUCAGCAUGGCCCUUAUGCCCUGGGCUACACACGUGCUACAAUGGCUGAUACAAUGGGUAGCCAAGCCGUAAGGCGGAGCCAAUCCCAUCAAAAUCAGUCUCAGUUCGGAUUGAGGGGCUGCAACUCGCCCUCAUGAAGUUGGAAUCGCUAGUAAUCGUGAAUCAGCAUGUCACGGUGAAUAUGUUCCUAGGUCUUGUACUCACCGCCCG